rnacentral:rRNA from 1 species
GACGUAGGGCGCGAGCGUUGUCCGGAUUUAUUGGGCGUAAAGAGCUCGUAGGCGGUCUGUUGCGUCGGCUGUGAAAACCCGGGGCUCAACCCCGGGCCUGCAGCCGAUACGGGCAGACUAGAGUUCGGCAGGGGAGACUGGAAUUCCUGGUGUAGCGGUGAAAUGCGCAGAUAUCAGGAGGAACACCGGUGGCGAAGGCGGGUCUCUGGGCCGAUACUGACGCUGAGGAGCGAAAGCGUGGGGAGCAAACAGG